ACACAGACGCUUUCGACAUGUCUCUCAUGCACAGUGUCCGCUCUCGCGCUCUCCGUAGCUAAUGCAGCGAUAAUAUGUCGGUUGCACUUGCACGCACGCCCAUCGGCAUUGAAUGUGAGCAGUGCCGCUAUAGAGCAGUUGGUGUACGCGUGCGCUCGCCUUUCGCUGUGUAUGUGUGUGUGUGUAUUCGCGGUUUGAGUAAUUUCGAAAAAUUUUUGUAUAUUUGAUGGCGACAACGACGGCUGCUUUACUCACAAGAAACGCGCGUAUGUCGAAAAUUGUAGCGCGUACGUAUAUCGGUGUGUAGAAAUUGCUUUUAAAUUGUGUUACACACUUAACAAUUGUGUAGAAAUUUAGAAUUUGCGUGUUGUAUUUGUU